UGGUGAGUAUAGCUAUGGGGGUACACCUAGUUACAUUCCGAACCUAGAAGUUAAGCCCAUAUACGCUGAUGGUACUUGGCUGGAAGCGGCCUGGGAGAGUAUGGAUUUGCCAAG
rnacentral:rRNA from 1 species